rnacentral:rRNA from 1 species
AUAGUGGCGGACGGGUGAGUAACGCGUGGAUAACCUACCCAUAAGACCGGGACAACCCUUGGAAACGAGGGCUAAUACCGGAUAUCCUUAGGGCCUGGCAUCGGGUUUUAAGGAAAGGUGGCCUCUGAAUAUGCUAUCGUUUAUGGAUGGAUCCGCGUCUGAUUAGCUAGUUGGUGGGGUAAAGGCCUACCAAGGCGGCGAUCAGUAGCCGGCCUGAGAGGGUGAACGGCCACACUGGGACUGAGACACGGCCCAGACUCCUACGGGAGGCAGCAGUGGGGAAUCUUCCGCAAUGGACGAAAGUCUGACGGAGCAACGCCGCGUGUACGACGAAGGCCUUCGGGUUGUAAAGUACUGUCUUCAGGGACGAAUGGCAGAGGUGUGAAUAAUGCCUCUGCAUGACGGUACCUGAGGAGGAAGCCCCGGCUAACUACGUGCCAGCAGCCGCGGUAAUACGUAGGGGGCAAGCGUUGUCCGGAAUCAUUGGGCGUAAAGGGCGCGUAGGCGGAUCUUUAAGUCUGGUGUGAAAACCUAGAGCUCAACUCUAGGNCUGCAUCGGAAACUGGGGAUCUUGAGGACAGGAGAGGAAAGUGGAAUUCCACGUGUAGCGGUGAAAUGCGUAGAUAUGUGGAGGAACACCAGUGGCGAAGGCGACUUUCUGGACUGUAUACUGACGCUGAGGCG